UACGGAGGGGGCGAGCGUUAUUCGGAAUUAUUGGGCGUAAAGGGCGCGUAGGCGGCCCUGUAAGUCAAAGGUGAAAUCCCUCGGCUCAACUGAGGAACUGCCUUUGAAACUGCAGGCUUGAGGCCGGGAGGGGGUAGCGGAAUUCCCAAUGUAGCGGUGAAAUGCGUAGAUAUUGGGAGGAACACCAGUGGCGAAGGCGGCUACCUGGACCGGUUCUGACGCUGAGGCGCGAAAGCGUGGGUAGCAAACAGG
rnacentral:rRNA from 1 species